rnacentral:piRNA from 1 species
UAGGGUGUUGCAAACUUCAAUGGUUA